CCCAGGAGUGACGGGACAGUGAGGAGGCAUCAAACAGCACAGGUCUGCAGUUCUACAGAGCUGGCUUCCAGUCCCAGUGCUGUGUGACCUUGAGCAAGUUACCUAACCUCUCUGAGUCUCAAGGGGCUAAUGAGACUUCACCUUGCAGGGCUCUGGUGAGAAGCACAUUGGGCACAGUCAUGGGCAUUUGUGGGUACUAACAUUAUUCCUCCCUGCCUGCCCCAACAAAACAAUCCCAGUGGGGAUUUGAACUGAAAUCAAGCUACACCUAUAAAUUCCUUUGGAAAGAAUGAGGUCUUUCCAUAAUGUGUGUAGUCCUCCAUCCAGGAAUGUGGAACAUAUCUUCCUUUAUUAAAGUUUCCUUUUAUGCCUUCUGGAAAGCUUUGCCGCUCUUCACACGGCCUGAGGUUUCUUGCUGAGGUCAUUUCCUGGCACAUGGUGUGUCUGUCCUGCUGCUGUGCUGGGCGUCAUCUUUUGCGUGUGCUGGUUUCCAGCAGGGCACUUCUGCGAUAUGGUUUCGUUUGCUGGCUGAAGAUACAGAACCAGGGGCUCGAACCCCUCCAACGCCUGCUCACACACAGCUCCAUGAGGAGGCAGCCCUGGACCUCACCCCACAGUGUCCUCCUCAGAGGCUACCAUGGGGUGCAGCCAGCUCUGGAGUGGCCAUUCCCCCAUAACAGCCACUUGGGCAAACCAGUGUGUAUUUCAACACCAGCCAGGCCAAGACAGGUCUGCUGACGCACUCUCCCUGUGGUGGGGCUGGGCUGGCAGGUUCUCCCUUGCACUGCCCUCGUGAGUGUCAGCUGAGGGCACUUCUCACAGCUCAGGCACCACACUCGGCCAGGUUUGGAAAAAGUCUAGUUUAUUGCACUGACUCAAAGCACAACUAAAAAUUAAAACCAGAAAGAAAACUGUACAAAGCAUGAAGCUACAAGUUUAAAAGCAUCACCUAGACGCGGGUUUAAUUGCACUACAGUCCCAUGGGUGAGGAGAGCUUUGCCAUCCGUGAGGCGCCGGGCAAGGCACAACAGACACAGAGAGAUGCAGCCCGGCCUGGGGCUGCCUCUACUGCCACCAACUUUUACAAAAGGUUCUAGAAAAGGGAAGUGUGAAGUCAGAUCUGGGAUUUCGGCAUCUUGACCUCAUUUGGACAUGGAAAACCUCCACCUAUGUGGCUGGCUGGGUCCUGUCAGAGAACAUAUUUUAUCACCCUCCACCUGCGGCCUGGGGGCUCCCUGACACCAAGGCCUGGGCCUGGGCCAGAGGCAGGCUAAAAAAAGCAGCCAGCCUGGUGUCCUGUCCUGAAGCUGCCUCCGGGAGGGGGCGGGAUGUGUGGCAGGGCGGCCUAGCCCUCACACGCAGAUGCCAGUGGGCGGGGUGGGCACUGCCCAUUGUCUGAAGGGGCCACAGCGGCCGUCCAUAGAGGCACUGGUUUCAACCUGUCGAGUGUCAACCCAUACCCUGCAGAAGGCAUGGGCUGCCACUCAGAGCCAGCCCACAGGUCCCGUGACCGCCCUGCCAGUCAAGUCUGUGCGGGGAUGCCUGCCCCUCUGAGGCUGCAGGCGAGGACAGUGCAGGCUCAGGACAAACCCGGGAAGGAACAAAGGCCUUCCAUUGUUUUCGGAAAACACAUAUCUCUUCUAAAUUUGUAAGAUUUGAUUUGAAAUGAGGUAUUUUAUGCAGAUUUGUAAUACAACAAAAAAGGCAAUAAUUAGUAGACUCGUCCUCUGAGGAUGCAUCUGGUUUUAGGAUGUCCGCCAGCAGCAUUAGUUAAAUACCAUUCCAAAGACAUUUCUAAGGGAGCGACCCUUGCUCAGCUCCCCCACGCCCCAUGCACCCUCCUGUGCCGUCCCUACCUGGGACACACGUGCACACAUCCAGGUUCCAUUUGCACCCAUCAGGCUUUACUGUUUCAGCUGAAGUGUGCUCUCCAGGAGGCGGGCAGCCUGCGCCGUGUGUGGGCAGUGAGGUGUGGUGUGGUGUGGUGAGAUGUGGCGAGGUACGGUACGGUGCGGUGCGGUGCGGUGCAGUGCGGUGUGGGGUGUGGUGUAUUGUGUGGUGCGGUGUGGUGAGGUGAGGUGCGGUGCGGUGUGGUGUGGUGAGGUGUGCUGUGCUGUGGUGUGGUGAGGUGUGGGGUGUGUUGUGUGGUGAGGUGUGCUGUGGUGUGGUGAGGUGUGGUGAGGUAUGGUGCAGUGCGGUGUGCUGUGCUGUGGUGAGGUGUACUGUGGUGUGGUGAGGUGAGGUGUGUUGUGGUGUGCAUGUGCGUGGGUUCUCUCCUGGCAUGGCCAGUGCUCUCCUCUCAAGCCCGGCCUCGGCUUGCUGGCCAGAGCGUCUGGCGUGGAAUGUGCUCUGCAGCUUUGUCUCUGGGGGGACACCCCCCUAUGAUGGGACAAAGCCAUCACCGAGCACAUCCCGCGCUGCAGAGAGCUGACCUUUGGCUCCAUCUGGCCCUGGGGCUACUAAUGUGGAAGGAGGCCCUGGGCCAAACCAGCUGCCCGGCUACCCUUGGUUCUGGGAGGCCUCCGGAGACCACUCCCACCAACAAAAGCUGGAGCUAUCUGUGGAUGAGACCAGGACGGCAGCACGUGGGUAAUCGGAGUGCAUGCAGCCGGGCGGUCGCCACUGUCCUGAGCUAGGAGGCGCCACUGCUGCAGCAAUCACGCCAGCCACGGGUGGAGGCUGUGGGUUCUGGAACGAGACAGAAACCAACAUAGAUGAAAGUAAGUGUGCGGGUCCAACCUGGCCAGAGGUGUCUGGACACGUGUGGAGGCAGCACGUCCACCAGGGAGUGACUCCGAAGCCACUGUGCCCACCACAGACGCCGGGCCCCUCCGCGUGACUCUGCCAGGGCUCCUUCAGAUGACCUCCCACUCGUCCUCCAGGUCCUCAGGGUGGGGCAUGGCGGCCUGGCUGCUCUUCUGGGUGCCGUGCGAGUGGCUGAACGUCUUCGUCAGCCGUUGGAGGAGGUAGCCGGGCGGGCCCACAGCCCACAGCUCAUCUGACG
rnacentral:lncRNA from 1 species